rnacentral:rRNA from 1 species
CUGACCCUACGGGGCGCCGCCGUCGGGCCUCUUCGGCCCUGGCCGACCGUCUGACCGAGCAACGCCGCGUGAGUGAAGAAGGUUUUCGGAUCGUAAAACUCUGUUGGUAGAGAAGAACGUUGGUGAGAGUGGAAAGCUCAUCAAGUGACGGUAACUACCCAGAAAGGGACGGCUAACUACGUGCCAGCAGCCGCGGGAAUACGUAGGUCCCGAGCGUUGUCCGGAUUUAUUGGGCGUAAAGCGAGCGCAGGAGGUUUAUUAAGUCUGGUGUAAA